rnacentral:sRNA from 1 species
CUUAUUCGCUAGGCAAAAGUUGUUGCAAGACUCUACGCUGGCUUACACCUUUUUGGCAGCUCAAGAAAAGCGCCAUCCUUUUUCAAGCAAUUUACUCACGCUGCAACCGACGAAUUUACUAAAUUGAAGCAAAAGGGCACAUUCGAGUUCGUU